rnacentral:rRNA from 1 species
UACGAAGGGGGCUAGCGUUGUUCGGAAUUACUGGGCGUAAAGGGCGCGUAGGCGGUGUGUCAAGUCAGGCGUGAAAGCCCCGGGCUCAACCUGGGAACAGCGCUUGAGACUGGCACGCUCGAGUUCGGGAGAGGAUGGUGGAAUUCCCAGUGUAGAGGUGAAAUUCGUAGAUAUUGGGAAGAACACCGAUGGCGAAGGCAGCCAUCUGGACCGACACUGACGCUGAGGCGCGAAGCGUGGGGAGCAAACAGG